AUCUCAACUGUCCGAUCGCACCUAAGGGGAAAACAGAUAUGGGUUGUCCACACGCAGGAUCGAUCUUGGACCGUCUGAUCGCAGGGCACGCGGAUCGCCAACGUGGCCUCCUGGUAGCACCAACGUCAACGCGCCUUGCCAUAGGCGCGCUCUAGUUCGUCGAGACUGCUGACUGGGAGGUCUUACGUAGUCGGAUUUUCUCUAUUUGUACUUUGAUCAUCUGUUUCUAAUUU
rnacentral:lncRNA from 1 species